AGAACGAACGCUGGCGGCAGGCCUAACACAUGCAAGUCGAGCGCUCUCUUCGGAGGGAGCGGCGGACGGGUUAGUAACGCGUGGGAACGUGCCCUUCUCUAAGGAAUAGCCACUGGAAACGGUGAGUAAUACCUUAUACGCCCUUCGGGGGAAAGAUUUAUCGGAGAAGGAUCGGCCCGCGUUAGAUUAGAUAGUUGGUGGGGUAACGGCCUACCAAGUGUACGAUCUAUAGCUGGUUUUAGAGGAUGAUCAGCAACACUGGGACUGAGACACGGCCCAGACUCCUACGGGAGGCAGCAGUGGGGAAUCUUGGACAAUGGGCGCAAGCCUGAUCCAGCCAUGCCGCGUGAGUGAUGAAGGCCUUAGGGUCGUAAAGCUCUUUCGCCUGUGAAGAUAAUGAC
rnacentral:rRNA from 2 species